rnacentral:rRNA from 1 species
UGGUGGGGUAACGGCCUACCAAGCCGAUGAUCCGUAGGGGGCGUGAGAGCGUGGCCCCCCACACUGGCACUGAGACACGGGCCAGACUCCUACGGGAGGCAGCAGUGAGGAAUAUUGCACAAUGGGCGCAAGCCUGAUGCAGCAACGCCGCGUGAGGGACGAAGGCCUUCGGGUUGUAAACCUCUUUUCUGAGGGACGAGGAAGGACGGUACCUCAGGAAUAAGUCUCGGCUAACUACGUGCCAGCAGCCGCGGUAAAACGUAGGAGGCGAGCGUUAUCCGGAUUUACUGGGCGUAAAGCGCGCGCAGGUGGCUUCGUGAGUCGGACAUGAAAGCUCCUGGCUUAACUGGGAGAGGCUGUUCGAUACUGCGGGGCUUGAGGUUGGGAGAGGGACGCGGAAUUCCCGGUGUAGUGGUGGAAUGCGUAGAUAUCGGGAGGAACACCAGUGGCGCAAGCGGCGUCCUGGCCCACACCUGACGCUGAGGUGCGAAAGCGUGGGUAGCAAACAGGAUUAGAUACCCUGGUAGUCCACGCUGUAAACGAUGUCAACUGGGUGUCGGUAGUUUUACACUAUCGGUGCCGAAGCUAACGCG